CAAGUCGAACGGUAAGGCUCCAGCUUGCUGGGGUACACGAGUGGCGAACGGGUGAGUAACACGUGGGUGACCUGCCCUGCACUUCGGGAUAAGCCUGGGAAACUGGGUCUAAUACCGGAUAGGACCGCACUGUGAGGGUGUGGUGGAAAGUUUUUUCGGUGUGGGAUGGGCCCGCGGCCUAUCAGCUUGUUGGUGGGGUAAUGGCCUACCAAGGCGGCGACGGGUAGCCGGCCUGAGAGGGUGGACGGCCACAUUGGGACUGAGACACGGCCCAGACUCCUACGGGAGGCAGCAGUGGGGAAUAUUGCACAAUGGGCGGAAGCCUGAUGCAGCGACGCCGCGUGGGGGAUGACGGCCUUCGGGUUGUAAACUCCUUUCACCAUCGACGAAGGGUUUCUGACGGUAGAUGGAGAAGAAGCACCGGCUAACUACGUGCCAGCAGCCGCGGUAAUACGUAGGGUGCGAGCGUUGUCCGGAAUUACUGGGCGUAAAGAGCUCGUAGGUGGUUUGUCGCGUCGUCUGUGAAAUUCCGGGGCUUAACUCCGGGCGUGCAGGCGAUACGGGCAUAACUUGAGUACUGUAGGGGAGACUGGAAUUCCUGGUGUAGCGGUGAAAUGCGCAGAUAUCAGGAGGACACCGGUGGCGAAGGCGGGUCUCUGGGCAGUAACUGACGCUGAGGAGCGAAAGCAUGGGGAGCGA
rnacentral:rRNA from 1 species